GAAGUCUUUCUAUGUUACACAUACCCCUGUCACUUUGUAAUGAGAGAGACCACAAUGAAGUAAACAUGCGCUGAAAUCCUAUUCUUGUGUGUCAUUCCGCUUGCAAAAAUUGUUUCUACGACAAAAAAAAAAUGGCUUCUACAUCAAACUCGGAGUCGCUGUCUGUGUCUGAUUUGGAAAAAAGCAGGAGUGGACUUUGCGAGGAGUUCGCUACUAUAACGGGAACUGAUAGCGCCGUGGCUCAAUGCUACCUGGCUGAAAAUGACUGGGAGAUGGAGAGAGCUGUAAACUCAUUCUUUGAGGCAGACAUGGAGAGAAUAUUUGAGGAAGACUUUCAGGAGAGUGACUGCAUCCCUCCGGAAAAAAAGCAAAAAGUCGAGGAAGAACCUUCAAAGGAGUGCAUCGAUUUGACCGGCGACAGUCCAGUUGCACGAAAACCACCAGAUGAAGAUGAUGGCAAACUGUCCCUGAUCUCCUGGAACGUGGAUGGACUAGACACGGACAAUCUGGCAGAGCGUGCCAGAGGCCUCUGUUCCUACUUGGUGCUAUACACCCCUGAUGUGGUAUUCCUGCAGGAACUCAUUCCUCCUUAUGUUCAAUACUUGAAGAAACGGGCUGUCAGCUACCUCAUCAUUGAAGGUGGUGAAGAAGCUUACUUCACAGGAAUGAUGCUAAAGAAAUCCAGAAUAAAAUUCUUGGAGAGUGAGAUCGUAACUUAUCCCACCACACAGAUGAUGAGGAAUCUACUUGUAGCUCAGGUGACGUUCAAAGGUCAGAAGUUGUGCCUGAUGACUUCCCACCUUGAAAGCUGUAAAGGCCACGCUCAGGAGCGGAUGAAGCAGCUGCACACGGUGAUGCAGAGGAUGAGAGACGCUCCUGAUGAUGUCACCGUGCUGUUUGGAGGGGACACGAAUCUGAGGGACACCGAGGUAGCCAAAGUGGGCCUACCGUCCGGCGUCUGUGACGUGUGGGAGCGACUGGGCAAGCAGGAGCACUGCCGCUACACGUGGGACACCAAGGCCAACAACAACAAGACCGUCCCCUUCGUCAGCCGCUGCCGCUUCGACCGCAUCUACUUCCAGCCAGCCUCUAAGGAAGGAGUACCACGCCUGGCCCCGGAUCACAUGGCCCUAAUCGGACUGGAGAAGCUGGACUGUGGCCGCUACACGAGCGAUCACUGGGGCCUUUACUGCAGCUUCACCGCAGGGUAGAAACACUCGAAACAGCUGGAAGCAUUUUAGCGAACAUCUGCUGCUCCGUUUUUUGUUUUUUUUCACUGAAAACAGGCCCAAGCUGACAGUUGUUGCUUGUUAAUGUUAGGUCCUGAUUUGUUUUAUCUCCAUGCAGUUUUAAGAUGAGUCAAUAAAAACAUUCGUACUAUUUGGAAACCACAGUUGAGGUGGAAAUUUCAUGCCUUCCAUCCGAUUCCCAUAAAACUGCUGACAGAAAAAUACCACUGUGAGACGUGACAGCAGCCUGAGUCUUUUCACAUGCUUCUGUCUUAAUGAUGAAGGUCAGAGUUCAAGACUCAACAAUAAGAAAUUGACCAAAAAUGGCAUUGGGCUGUACGAGAGUUCAAAGGACAAAACCACUGAUGACCAAAAGCAACUUGAUCCUCAAGAAAAAUACUCUGUGGACUCACGAGGUAAAAGUGAAACAUUUUGGAAGGAACGUCUCCUUAGAUCUGGUGUUUAAUAAAUUAAUCCAUUCACCGUCUAUGCCCUCUUAUCCUGGCACAGCAGUGGGCUGUGUCUAUCUCCAGUUGUCAUUAGGUAAGACCUGGUUUCACUACGGGCAGGUUUCCACCCCAAAGAAACGCUUAAAACAAA